rnacentral:rRNA from 1 species
AGAGUUUGAUCAUGGCUCAGGGUGAACGCUGGCGGCGUGCCUAAUACAUGCAAGUCGAGCGAGCGAGCUCCCUUCGGGGAGUGAGCUAGCGGCGGACGGGUGAGUAACACGUGGGUAACCUGCCCAUCGGAGGGGGAUACCUGGGGGAAACCCCAGUUAAUACCCCAUACGCUCAGCAGGCGUAUGUCUGCUUGAGGAAAGACCCUUCGGGGUCGCCGAUGGAUGGGCCCGCGGCCUAUCAGGUAGUUGGUAGGGUAAUGGCCUACCAAGCCUAUGACGGGUAGCCGGCGUGAGAGCGUGGCCGGCCACAGGGACACUGAGACACGGGUCCCACUCCUACGGGAGGCAGCAGUAGGGAAUAUUGGGCAAUGGGCGCAAGCCUGACCCAGCGACGCCGCGUGGGGGAUGAAGGCCUUCGGGUUGUAAACCCCUGUGGCGAGGGACGAAUAAGGUGAGGAGGUAAUGCCUCACCGAUGACGGUACCUCGCUAGAAAGCCCCGGCUAACUACGUGCCAGCAGCCGCGGUAAUACGUAGGGGGCGAGCGUUACCCGGAAUCACUGGGCGUAAAGGGGGCGUAGGCGGUUUGGCAAGUCAAGUGUGAAAUUCCACGGCUCAACUGUGGAGCUGCGCUUGAAACUGCCAAACUUGAGGCCAGUAGAGGGAGACGGAAUUGCCGGUGUAGGGGUGAAAUCCGUAGAUAUCGGCAAGAACGCCGGUGGGGAAGCCGGUCUCCUGGGCUGAGCCUGACGCUGAGGCCCGAAAGCUAGGGGAGCGAACGGGAUUAGAUACCCCGGUAGUCCUAGCCGUAAACGAUGCUCACUAGGUGUGGGGCGCACAUGCGCUCUGUGCUGAAGCUAACGCGUUAAGUGAGCCGCCUGGGGAGUAUGCCCGCAAGGGUGAAACUCAAAGGAAUUGACGGGGGCCCGCACAAGCGGUGGAGCGUGUGGUUUAAUUGGAUGCUAAGCCAAGAACCUUACCAGGGCUUGACAUGCUGGUGGUACCGACCCGAAAGGGAAGGGACCAUACCCAUUUUGGGUGUGGAGCCAGCACAGGUGGUGCAUGGUCGUCGUCAGCUCGUGCCGUGAGGUGUUGGGUUAAGUCCCGCAACGAGCGCAACCCCUGCCCUUAGUUGCCAGCGGUACGGCCGGGCACUCUAAGGGGACCGCCGCCGACGAGGCGGAGGAAGGAGGGGAUGACGUCAGAUACUCAUGCCCCUUAUGCCCUGGGCUACACACGCGCUACAAUGGGAUGGACAACGGGUUGCUACCUCGCGAGAGGAUGCUAAUCCCUUAAACCAUCCCCCAGUUCGGAUUGCAGGCUGAAACUCGCCUGCAUGAAGCUGGAAUCGCUAGUAAUCGCGGAUCAGCUACGCCGCGGUGAAUACGUUCCCGGGCCUUGUACACACCGCCCGUCACGCCACCCGAGUCGGAAACGCCCGAAGACGGUCCACCCCAACCCGUAAGGGAGGGGUCCGUUGAAGGCGGAGCCGGCGAGGGGGGCGAAGUCGUAACAAGGUAGCCG